rnacentral:lncRNA from 1 species
UGGGCCUACACUUUUGGUCCUUCCAGCUCAGGAAGCUGAUUUUGGUGACCUGUGGGAAUUUGACCAAAGUCAUUUGGAGCAAGCUUCUCACCAGCUUUCCUCAAUCUUAAGCUGACCUUGGGACACCUUGCCUGAAGGGUAGAGCUGGAGACCAGACAAUGGGGCUGGAGGAGACCUCAAGAACAAGAGUGGGAGCAAACAGACCAGAUAGGAGAAAUCUCAAGUGUAAGUUUACUGAGUUCUGAUAAUUGCAUACCUCUGGGUAAUCCAAACUCCUCUCCAAACAUUGACCAUGACCAUCAGGGCACUAGCCUGCCAGUCUUUGGACUGGAACUACACCAGCUGCUCACUUAGACUGAAACUAAACCAUCAGCUCUCCUGGGUCUCCAGCUUGCCAACUCACGCUUCAGAUCUUGGGACUUGCCAGCCUCCAUAAUUACGUUGAAAACCAUGAACACUUCAUACUUUCAUGAUGGGGGUGAAGGGGUUUAAAGAGAUGACUUCUAAGAUCCUUCCAGGCUCUGCUGAGCCCUCUACCAGAUUGACUUGCCCAUGUUACUUCUAGGUCCCACGCUCUGUCCCUCCCGAAUGGUACACAGCUCUCGCUGGGUUCCAGAGAAAAUUGGGCAGCUCGACAAUGAACAUGAUGUGUUUCCCCAAGUCUCAUUUUUAAGGCGGCUUUAUCAGGUUUAAUUAGACAGCUGCCAUCUCUUGUGGCUUGCAGUGUAUAUUUAAGGAGAGAAACAUGAGUCGUCCUCUGUGAAAUGAAAAACAACAUCAUCAAAACUGUCUCUCCACUGCUCUGCUGGCUCCUUACCCACAGCCUAGAAACAUGUUCCAGUUCCUUCCAGGGCUCAGUGGAGAGUUUCUUGGUAAAGAUGCACAGAUUGUGUUAGCUUUGAUAGCAGUGUGUUCAUAGAAAAAUGUCUAAAAUGGAGUGAAAGAUUCAGGCAGGAAAUAUUUGGGUUGAAAAGAGCAAACUAGUUUGUUGUGGAGUAUGAGAGAAGCUUGACCCAAGAAGACAAUGCUAAGUAUAUUUCCCAUUCUGUGUUCAAUUCUGACCUUGAACACUCACCCAGUGCAUUUAAGGCCCUUAAGGAAGGUAGGUGAGUGUGUGUGUACAGGUAGGGGAACAAAUGGUAGGAGAUGGAAGGAUGGAGUGAAAGAGGCUCUCAGUAGAUUGAAAAUUCCCAAACAGCAAGGCAGCAUGAAAGGUAUUGCUUCUCCUUCCUCCAUUCAUGUUUCAGGGGCUCAUGAUUCUUUUUUACAUCUUUUUCUUCUGUAUUCAUCCUUUGCUAACUGUUUCCAGAUUCCCCUGGAUAACAAUGUCAAGUGGUAGAUAGUCCAGUGGGAGAACUGCAUAUUCUCUUGCCCAUUUUACCACUGGUAUCUGAUGGGGAUGGCCCCACUCACACCUUUAUUUUGUU